rnacentral:rRNA from 1 species
GCGAGCCACCUCCCACCACGUGUUUACUGUACCUUAGUUGCUUCGGCGGGCCCGCCAUUCAUGGCCGCCGGGGGCUCUCAGCCCCGGGCCCGCGCCCGCCGGAGACACCACGAACUCUGUCUGAUCUAGUGAAGUCUGAGUUGAUUGUAUCGCAAUCAGUUAAAACUUUCAACAAUGGAUCUCUUGGUUCCGGCAUCGAUGAAGAACGCAGCGAAAUGCGAUAACUAGUGUGAAUUGCAGAAUUCCGUGAAUCAUCGAGUCUUUGAACGCACAUUGCGCCCCCUGGUAUUCCGGGGGGCAUGCCUGUCCGAGCGUCAUUGCUGCCCAUCAAGCACGGCUUGUGUGUUGGGUCGUCGUCCCCUCUCCGGGGGGGACGGGCCCCAAAGGCAGCGGCGGCACCGCGUCCGAUCCUCGAGCGUAUGGGGCUUUGUCACCCGCUCUGUAGGCCCGGCCGGCGCUUGCCGAACGCAAAUCAAUCUUUUCCAGGUUGACCUCGGAUCAGGUAGGGAUACCCGCUGAACUUAAGCAUAUCAAUAAGGCGGAGGA